rnacentral:lncRNA from 1 species
CCACGCCCCGUCAGGGCCCGGCGUGUGAUGUUCCCCUCCCUGUGUCCCAUGUGUUCUCGCUGUUCAACUCCCACUUAGGAGCGAGAACAUGCGGUGUUUGGUUUUCGCUUCCUGUGUCAGUUUGCUGAGAAUGAGGCCUUCCAGCUUCAUCCACGUUCCCGCAGAGGUCAUGAACUCAUCCUUUUUUAUGGCUGCGUAGUAAUUCCAUGCUGUAUACGUGCCACACUUUCUUUAUCCAGCCUAUCAUUCAUGGGCAUUCGAGUUGGUUCCAAGUCUUUGCUAUUGUAAAUAGUGCUGCAGUAAACAUACGUGUCCACGUGUCUUCCUAGUAGGAACUUCUUCCUCUUCAGCCCGCUGAGUAGCUGGCACUUUAAGGCAGGUGCCAACGCACCGGCAGCAAGCUUCCUUUUUUGCCCGGGAAAAACUGAGGUGCAGGUAGUAUAAGCCAUUGAUCACGGAACGCACAGGAGCAGAGUCGAGUCCAAGCAUCGUGGCUCCACCCGUCAUGCUGGAUGCAUCUUUAGGCUCCGCUCUAGGUAUGUGUAUCCUUUACGGGAUCAGCCACCGGCAGUUGCCUUGCGAGCACGAUGACAAACCUCUGCCGGCUCUUUUGGGUCUCAUCCCUGUAUCUAUACGUUGCAUCCCAACAUAAAGACCGGAAUGUUCCUUUCGCUGACCCAGUCUCUCACCCUUUCCAAACUCCAGAAAUCUUGUCUGUCCUCGGAAGAACUCCCCCUGCUUCUUUCUCUAAAGGCUGUCUUCAGGCCGGGCACAGUGGGAGGAUCGCUUGAGCCCAGAAGGCCGCAGUGAGGUGAGAUCGCGCCAUUGCACUGCAGCCCCCGGCGGCAGAGCCGGAGCCCCGUCUCGAAACAAACAAACAAAAACCAACCAACCAACCAACCAACCAACAAACAAACACAGACAAAGAAAGAAAGAGCCCAGGCAACCUAGUGAAAACCUGUUCGGGCUGGGGCGUACCUGUACCCCAGCUGUUCCGGAGGCUGAGGCCAGGAGGAUGGGUGGACGCUGGGAGGUGGAUGCUGCAGUGAGCAGUGAUUGCACCACUGCACUCCAGCCUGGGUGACAGAGCCAGACCCCGUCCCAAAUAAAUAAACAUAAAAAUAAAGGAACCAGUUUGUAGAAAGCGGGAGAGGGUCCCAUUGAACUUCAAGCCUUCGAGCAACAGCUGUGGCUGGA